UAACCUAUCUAGCGAUGGAUAGCUGAACAGUCAGAAGUCAGCAGAGGUCAUAGUGCGUGCGUGGCAGCAC
rnacentral:ncRNA from 1 species